rnacentral:rRNA from 1 species
GAUGAACGCUGGCGGCGUGCUUAACACAUGCAAGUCGAACGAUGAAGCUCAGCUUGCUGGGUGGUUUAGUGGCGAACGGGUGAGUAACACGUGAGUAACCUGCCCUUAACUCUGGGAUAAGCCUGGGAAACUAGGUCUAAUACCGGAUAGGAGCGCCUACCGCAUGGUGGGUGUUGGAAAGAUUUAUCGGUUUUGGAUGGACUCGCGGCCUAUCAGCUUGUUGGUGAGGUAAUGGCUCACCAAGGCGACGACGGGUAGCCGGCCUGAGAGGGUGACCGGCCACACGGGGACUGAGACACGGCCCAGACUCCUACGGGAGGCAGCAGUGGGGAAUAUUGCACAAUGGGCGAAAGCCUGAUGCAGCGACGCCGCGUGAGGGAUGACGGCCUUCGGGUUGUAAACCUCUUUCAGUAGGGAAGAAGCGAAAGUGACGGUACCUGCAGAAGAAGCACCGGCUAACUACGUG